rnacentral:rRNA from 1 species
CCUACGGGUGGCAGCAGUGAGGAAUAUUGGUCAAUGGCCGGAAGGCUGAACCAGCCAAGCCGCGUGAAGGACGAAGGUGCCAAGCAUCGUAAACCUCUUUUGUCAAGGGACAAAAUCAGGCACGAGUCCCCGACUGAGUGUACCUGAAGAAAAAGCAUCGGCUAACUCCGUGCCAGCAGCCGCGGUAAUACGGAGGAUGCGAGCGUUAUCCGGAUUUAUUGGGUUUAAAGGGUGCGUAGGCGGGCUGUUAAGUCAGCGGUAAAAGCCCGGGGCUCAACCCCGGCGAGCCGUUGAAACUGGCUGUCUCGAGAUGUAGAGAGGUAUGCGGAAUGCGCAGUGUAGCGGUGAAAUGCUUAGAUAUUGCGCAGAACUCCGAUUGCGAAGGCAGCAUGCCGGCGGCGCUCUGACGCUGAGGCACGAAAGCGUGGGUAUCGAACAGGAUUAGAUACCCGAGUAGUC